UUUAGCGACUUCUUUUUUAAUGAAAAAUGCCUCUACUGUAUAGAAUUUAGUAGCGAUCGUAAAUACAAACAUCACUAAUUUCCUUCAAAAAAUUAGAAAUCGACCUAGCCACUUUUUUUCCCUCUCUUCCCUUUUUACCUUUUUCUGCUGUAGAUUUUCCUCUCGAUUUUCAUUCAUUUUCCCUUCCUUUUCCAUUCCCAUUCUUUUUCUUAAUUCAUACUCUCUCAUCUAGCCCCUCUUUCAGCCCUUGCCCUCUCUAUUAACUAUUUAUCCAUUUACUCCCUGACUCUCCGAUCAUUGGCAGUGGCACAGUUUCUACUGGUGGCUUCCCCUAUCUCUUUCUUUAUUUUCCUCCUCUCUUUGAUCCAUUGGAACCACCCUUAUCUUCCUCUCUCUUACUAACUUUCUUAUCAUCUUUCUCUUAAGAUUGCUUUUUCAGGUAGUGAAGUCUUCAAUAUUAUUUUCAAUAUUUUUCCCUUAAUUUUCUCUAGAAAAAAGAAUAAAAAACUUUUAAAGAUUAAUUAUAUUCUGGAUGAAGUUUAGGAUAAGUAUUUGAUUUCACUUUUUCUCUUAUUAGUAUUACUUAACAAAUGGAUAACAAUUUCUGAAGUUCAAGCAUAUCAAGUAAUAGUAAUAAAAAUUGUUAUUAUUACUUCAAAGGUUAUUCCUUUUACUCUUCGAUUUUUUGUUUACAAGCUUUUUAACUUUUAACUGAAUCUUCAGUGGUUUUGAUUUUAAAUUUUGUUUUAAUCUCUGUUUUUACAAACACUUAAAGAUUGUGUAAAUUAAUGUGGAAAAUAGAUGAUAGAUGGGAGAGCUGGCGACUGACAAACAUGUUAAGUACAUUUUAUCUAUUGAAAAGAGAAAGGAUUUUUUUAAUCGGUGGUGAUAGGCCAUCUAAGAAUGAAUGGGGCAUAUUGGGGAUUAACAUCCUUGGAUCUUUUGCGGAAGCUUGAUAUUGUUAAUGCAAAUCAGGUUAUUUCAUGGAUCAUGAAAUGCUUAGUUUUUUAUAUUUAAUUGCUAGUAUUAUUAGUGUAAGUAAAAAAAAUGUCUAGAUUUAAGUUAAUUAAAUCAUAAUAUUAAAGAAGUUUGAUGAUACUUUCUUAUACAUAUGGUUUUUUUGGUAAUAUUGGGCAUGACCCACAUAUACUGUAUACUCAGUGCUAUGCAAGUGUUGGCCCUUUUCAACAAGCUAGAUGUUCUUGACAUUAAUAAGGUUUGUCACAUUCUGAGAACACUGAAGCUGAUACUGAGAAAUUAAGUAUAGGCAUUGAGACAGCCAAUGUACUGAACAGCAUGAUAAAUUGCCUGGUAUUAAUUAGAAGCUCCAAUGGAUUGCUUGGUAUUAAUAAUAAGAUUUACUUGACCAAGAAGUUUUAUAACGAAGAGGGAGAGGCAGUGCGUCAUCAUGGAGUACAAUGCUAAAGUGAUGUUCUCCAUUCCUAGUGGAUCUUGUAAACAUGCUAAACGGGUAAGUUCUGAAGCUUGAUUCAAUCGAAGGUUCCAAAUUAUGGAAAAGAAUUAAUGCCUUGAUCUUAAACACAUGGCAUUGUUGGCUGCACACCAGAAGGAAAUAACCUGGGAUUUCAUCAAAUUGCAAUCAUAUGUUUUAAUUUGCAACAGAUGAAUUCUAAAGUAUGUUUAGUUGCAAUUAACUUUUGUACAUUUUAUAUUUUUAUGCUCACAUCUCAUGAUUAAAUUUGUUAACUAAUAGUGAUUCUGGUCUAUGUUUUUCAUUCUGUUGUAUUAAUAGGAUAGAGUUGGUUCUUUAAAAGGAGGUGUCAAGUUUUUCAAGAUUUGUGGGUUUGAGAAAGUUGAAUGAGAUUAGUUCCUAUA